UCACUUUAUCCUUUUCUACUUUAUUACUUCAAAUUAACAACCACAAUAAAGCUCAAAAAAGUCCAAUAUUUACACAGGAAAAAAGUACAAAAUUCCCCCCAAAGUUCUUCAGUAUUUUUUUUUUCAGUUUUUUAAAUUACAAAGUAAUAAAAAGCUUUGCUCUUUAAUUAAAAAAAAGAAAAAGAAAAAAGGGGAAACAGAGGUAAAUAAAUUAGGAAAUACACACAUGGAGAAAACAAACAAAAAUAAAGUAAAAACAGGUGUUAACUGGGCGGGAUGGAUAAGUCCUGUGCCCAGCCCUAAACCAGGCUCCUCAGGGGGGAAGAACGCACGGAGGGGACCCCAAGUGACCCCAGGACCAGGAGAUUAAGUUAUAACCCAGGAGCCACAUGCUUUCUGGAAGUAGUCUCCACGGAUUCUGCCCUAAGACCAGGAAAGGGGAACGGGGCUGCCACAGGCUGAUGACAGUCUCAGGGGUCAGUGGUGGCGAGGACCCUCUGCGCCCUUCUUGAGGGAUGUGGAGGUCACUGCCCACCUCUGUGUCCUUGUUAGGGGAUGAGAACAGAAAUUCAGCCUGGCAGGUGGGGUGGGGCACCUGCUGUCCUGGGAGGUACAGGUCGGAUACGUAUACACACGCACACAGGGAAUCUCGGCCCCACUGCCUUGCCACCCACUCAAGUCUCCAUGGAGAGGCAAAGGAGGGACCCAGACACUCAGGGGGACACUGGAAAAAGCCCAACACAGAAAGCCGGCCACCGUCACCUUGAAGGGGUGGGGGCUGUGCCUGUCUCCUGUGGUCCUGAGGCUCAAGACAGCACCCAGUGGGACUUGGCUGCAACCAGCCAAACCAUUCCUCUGACCAACCACAUCAUCCCCGCAGCGCUCAGGCCACCUCCUGAUGGCAGGGGAGGAAGGCCGCAUCCCUCCCAGCCAGCGUCAGGUCGGCGGGGGUGAGGCCUCGGUGUCCGGCACGUGUAGCACAGUGUCUGGGAGCAUCUGGCAGCCUAAAGGUUGUGGGCAGUGGGAAAUGCAAAGUGACAAGAAUCCUCUGUGCUGAGGGCAUCCCAUUUUUUUACCGUUGGCAAAAAAAAAAAACAAAACAAAAAGAAAAGAAAAGAAAAAUCAAAGAAACAAAAUCCAUCGUCGGUUUUGUGCUGGGUUUUUUCUUUUUGUUCUUGAGUGGUUUUUUUUCCCAUCUUUGUUGUUGUUAUUUUUUAAAAGAAAAUACAGUGAAGACACUAAAAAGGGGGAGAAAGAAGACAGAUCAGAUCCUCAUUUGCCUCUGGCCACCCCGCCGCAGCUCCUAUAUUGUCCCGAGUCUUUGAGUGGGUCCCUCUCUGGGGCACACAGCAGGUGCCCGACUUUCACGGGUAGGACGCAGAAUCUCUCUCUCCUGUGCCAUCUUGGUGAACAGUCACCCCCAGCCACACAUCUG
rnacentral:lncRNA from 1 species